AAAAAUAGAAAAACAGAAAGAAAAUCAACAACAGAAAGAUUUCCUAAUCAAAAGCAUUUGGACUUUCGACUGUUUGUAAUAUUUACAACAUCAACAGCAACGUCAAGACCAAAUAAAUAAUUAAUACACCUUAUCAGCGAGCGAGCGAGAGAGCUAGUCCACUCGAAGCCACCUAUGACGUGGAGGCAUCGGUAUGCCGUUGCAUGGUCAACGUACGGUAUCGCAAACGCAAGAACGUAAGAACGUAAUUACUUUUGGCGCUGCACAUUGGAGCCAGACAAUCGAUGUUAUGGCGAAAAUUCGAAAAAUCAAGACUUAUCGCCGAUCACGUUCACCCGUGACGUGAUUAUUUGAUGGGUAUUUAUUCGUAUAUUUACUAUAUCUACUUAAAUUUCACUAAUUUUUCUGAAAAUAUGAAAAUAAAAUAAUGAUUUUGUUUCCUUGAAAUGUUCGAAUUUAUGACAAAAUAUCGCCUCUCUGGCCCAAUGUGCGCUGUCUCAGUCGAAAGCUGGCCCGAACCUAAUGAUAAUACCUACGAUCUAAUAAGGAGCACGUGAUGCGCAUACAACUGACCGACUAAUCAUUAAGAAACCAAAACCCCCAAGUGAAAUGAAAUGGAAUGGGAGUGGAAAUCGGUGGCAGUUGUAGCUCUGGCUCUGGCUCUGGCUCUAGACCCCUGGCUAGACAAAUUGCACAUAAUUUCUAGUCGAGUUAGCGCGGUCAGCCGGCAAAAAGUGCACCGAACCUGCCCAAAAGAACGGGACAGAGUGAUCGCACUACUGAAAGAGAGAGACGGCGAUACGGAGGGAGAGCCGCAUACAUAUGCACGUACCCGGGGGCCUACCACUUAGGUUAGUUAGACCCCGUUGACGACGUCGACUGCAAAUGCAACUGCAACAGCGGCUGCGGCAUCGGCAUCGGCAUCGGGAGGAUCCCAGCCAUUUCAUGAAAAAUUAUGUCGUGUACAAUUUUAUGCAUGAGAGACUUAUACAGCAGAAAAAAACAAAAAAAAACUGGGCAGAAAAAAAAUUAACAGUGUCUCGUCAGUUGCAUUUGCAGUUGUCGAGCGGCGGCCGGUGCACGGUGCAUGGCGCUGCACCGCCGCCAGGUUAGAUAAGCCACUGACGCCGCCGCCAUGCCGGCACCGUUGCAAUGGGCACACGCACACUCGACAGCCAUCUAGAAGACGGCGGCGAAAUGCCAGCCACUGCAACUGCAACUCCAACUGAAACUUCAGUGCACCGCACAGUGGGGCGAAACGGACCACAGAAAGCUGAAGAACUCUCUCACUAACUGCCUUGGAGAUCUUUGAGGGGUUGCGACUACCAACGACUAAAUUUCGGCGCUUAUUCCCUGAAACUCAUGCCAAAAGCAGCUGUACACACAUAUGUAUAUAAAGAGGUAUCAUAGAUCGGGGUCACCACUCUUAUACCACAGUGCCACAGUAAGGCUGGCAACGCUGGCUGCCGCCUGCAUUAGCAUACAAGUGUUGGAUAGCGUCAAUUGAAAAAGAGCAACAAUUGGCCCGCUAACGAACCGCCCGACAGACACAGACUCUUGACGCUGAUGAGGAGGAAUAGAGGGAGGAGUUGGUGGAAGAAAGCGCAUUCAAGCGUCUUCCGCAUCUUCCCUGGCUGCCACCGCCACCGCCACCCCACUCUAACCCGACCCACAUACCAGUUGGAUCCAUGGAUCCAUGGGUCUGUGUCUAUUACCGACCGCCGACAGCUUCAAAAGCGCCGGGGUGCUGCCGCUGCCGCUGCCACUGCCACUGCCACUACUGCUACUGCUUCUCUGAAGAUGUGGCGGGCGGACGUUUGUGCCGCAUCCUGAGCCCACACAUACUCGUAGGAGAAACCGAGAGGCUGCCAUAAUUAUAGCA
rnacentral:sRNA from 1 species